UGCACUUAAACCUUGUACACUGCGCUUGCCUUGUUUAGAAGAACCGCCCCUCUUCUUUAAAGAACCUCCCACGUCGCCUUCCUCUCUCUCCUUCAUCGUCGUUAUAUAAGCGAAUACGUUCUGCUUCUCAAUCCCGUGUUCGAACGGAUCCGGAACUAUGUCUACUGCUGAUAAAACCCCGCCGCCACCAAAACAGUGGACGAUGAGGCCCGUCGAGGUGCGAUCUGUUUGGGCUGAUAAUCUCGAAUCUGAAUUCAAGCUGAUCCGAUCUUUAAUCGACAGUUACCCGCUGAUCUCAAUGGAUACGGAGUUUCCUGGCA
rnacentral:misc_RNA from 1 species